rnacentral:lncRNA from 1 species
CUAGAAUAUUAUGACAGAGAAUCAACUCCUGGUCUCUUACGUACAAGUGGCUUUGAACUGUUUCAAAUAGCUCCGCAUCCAAACUUGGAGAUUCAAGUGAGGCAUUACUCUGUUCUUUUAUCUUCUGAGCGCAUCUAUCAAUGAGUGUGGCAAUGUCUGAGGAAAGCUGAGGGACAUCCUCCUUGUCAAUCACAAGUCCAGAGACAUCAAGUAACAUUUUGACCAUCUCAGUCUUCUCUGUAGACACUUGACGCUCUUUGUCAACAAUCUCUUUGUACUUCAAUGUUAGACUGUCUAACUCUAUUUGGAGAUUUUCCUUUGCCUGCAUUUCAGCUGAAAGCGAAGCAUUUAACUGUUCAAAUGAAGUACUGCUCUGUUCUUUUAUCUUCCCAAUACAUGUGUUAAUGAAGGUGCCAAUGUCUGAGGAAAGCUGAGAGACAUCCUCCUCGUCAAUCACAAGUCCAGAGACAUCAAGUAACAUUUUGACCAUCUCAGUCUUCUCUGUAGACACUUGACUCUCUUUGUCAACAAUCUCUUUGUACUUCAAUGCUAGAC